GGUUUUUGGAAUUUAUCAAAAAUCAGACCUGCUCAAUGUAAAAUAAAUAGCCGCGGUAUUAUGACCGUGCAAAGGUAGCAUAAUAAUUAGUCUUUUAAUUGAGGACUGGAAUGAAUGGUUUGACUAAAUAUUUUUGUCUUAUAUUUAUAUUUCUAAUUUUAUAUUUUAAUAAAAAAGUUAAAAUAAUUUUAAGGGACGAGAAGACCCUAUCAAGCUUUAUAAUUAUUAUUUAUUUUUCAAAUUAAAUAAAAAAUUAUUUUACUGGGGCAGUAGAUAAUAAAAAUAUUAUUUAUAUAUUGUAGUAUUAAACUUUUUAAAAUCAAAAAAUUUUUAAAAAGAAAUAAGUUACUGUAGGGAUAACAGCAUAAUUUUUUUUAAGAGUCCUUAUCAUCAAAAAAGUUUGUGACCUCGAUGUUGGAUUAAGAUUCCUAGUUUACGCAGCAGUAAUAAAAAGGAAGUCUGUUCGACUUUUAAAAUCUUCCA
rnacentral:rRNA from 1 species